ACCUGCAUACACGUUUAUCAAGAUAAGUGACAUGCUAUGAAACUUAACGAUAAAAAGGGUAGCCUAGUGCACUAAAGCUCCUGCUAUGUGCAGGGUCCGGGGAAGGGCCCGGACCACAAGGGUCUGUUAUUGUACGCUAGGAAAUUCCAAUCAAAGCAUUUAGCAGUACAUAUUGAAUAUUUUGAAAUUUUAGGCAAUUUGAGUCGUAAUAGUCAGAAGAGUAAGAAAUAUAAAACUUGUUAAUAUAAUUUAAGGAGUGUUCAUAUGCCAUGCCAAGCAACCAUAAUCACUUGCAGACCACCGAAAAACCAUGUCAACUUGCUAGGUAAUCCAAGAAACACUGUCAUGUUGUGUUUUCCAGACUCCCCAAGAAUAUUGCUGCAGCCGUACCAGAGCCUACAAAAUACACUACUUUGGAGGAUUCUACACACACCAGGCAACAUUUUGGAAAGUCUGAGCAACAUAGCUGUCAUACGAUGCAGAAUGAGGAUAGGUAAUCCAAGAAACACUGUCAUGUUGUGUUUUCCAGACUCCCCAAGAAUAUUGCUGCAGCCGUACCAGAGCCUACAAAAUACACUACUUUGGAGGAUUCUACACACACCAGGCAACAUUUUGGAAAGUCUGAGCAACAUAGCUGUCAUACGAUGCAGAAUGAGGAUAGCUAAUUUUAGUUACUAAAGCAAUAAACUAUAGGCAUUUUCCAAUCUAGUUGGCAUAUCAGACAAGUUUAGCCAGCACUUCUCCAGACAUCUUAAAGAGGUUACCCGGGACAACAACGCAUCCACCAUUUAUUUGUAUUCCAUGCUCAAACAUGACUUUUCUGUAAAUAUUUUAGGCAUGACACUCCAUGAUUAACGAAAAACCCAAUAAUCCAGUUGACAGUUAAAAGUACUAUCAUUAUUUAUAUGGCUUGUUGCUCUUCAAAAAAAGUACUAAUUGUUUUUAAAAAAAAAAAAGUCGGAAGUUUUCACUUCCAAGAAUUAAUUGUUUAACAAAAAAAAGACUGUAAAGUAUGUUAUGGUUAGACUCUGAUUGUUUGGAAUUCAUAGAACAAACCUUUAAAGAUGGUAAAUCAGGCAAAUAAAAAAGCCAGAGAACUGACAUAGGUUGGUCCAUUUGACAGGUUCACCCAAUUGUUUCCUCAAACCUAAUUCUCUAGAAAAUAUAUGUGAGAAAUAGAGACACGGGAAAAAUAUAUUAUUAUUAAGAUAGGUUGAGUACAUCAUUACACUAAGCCCUACAUACAGACACUACAUUACAAUCCUUUCUAUGCAGUACACUACAUAGAAUACUAUUCUUAUUCCUAUUCUAACACUCCCGCUCAAGCUGGUGCAUAUACAAGUCAUGUAUGGAGCUUGUUACAAAUGUAACUAAUACGAGGAUGAGUGAGAGACAUAUAAAAUGGCAACACAUAAAAUGGGACGAUGGGAGUAUAUCGUAGAAUGCACGCAACUGCAUCAUGACCAUCGUAUGGAAAAUCACAAACUGAUUUACAACACUCACAGUAAAAAGAAAUGUUAGGUCUAGUCACUAAUUGUGAGAUAGUUGAAUUUACCAAUUAGACGCCUAUAUCUUCUGGGAUCAAUGAGUAGCUUCCUUGUCGUGGCAGGAGUUAAGCAUUCGUAUCCAUAAGCAUAUCAAUGGGUCUGCAUCUCAUCAUUCAUAUCUCCUCAAGAACAGCGGCGAUUUUAUGUGCAAUAUUUGGGGCACGUAAACCCGUGUUCUUUUAGUAAAACUAGAUAUUUUAUGAACAUAUUUUCUAGAAUGAUCUAAUAUUACCUGUUGGCACCCAUGCUACAAAAAGACUUGAAGGUGCACUUAGUUAAAAGCUUACUUAUUUACCAAGAGGAACAAGGAUCCAUUUCCACUUAACACAUUUUUUCCUUCUUUUUGUAAGUAGUGCACCCAUUCGUUAAAAGCAUAAUUAUUUACCAAGAGGAACAAGGAUCCAUUCCCACUUAACAUAUUUUUUCCAUCUUUUCGUAAGUAGUGCACCCAUACACCAAAAAUUCUAGAAUCGCCUCUUCUUAAGAAUAUCUAAGACAUACUUCGUUGUGAAUAACAGUUGCGUGAGGUUAAGGUUUUUCCAUUGUAAACAUAUUCUUCACCAUGAAUGUACUUCACAGUGUUAUAUAUUGUGUGUGACUAUGAGCUAAUGAUUUUGCUAAAGAGAGAACAGAGAUGCAGCUUAAGCUCUGCAUAUGCCAUUAACUCAAAUAUUUCUUCGGUAGUUUUUUAACUUAUCAGCAUAAUCUCACCUAGUCUCUUGAUUAACUUUAGACUCAAAUAACCCUUCAACUAUAAACUGAAUAGCCAAUUUUUUUUACAGGUUUUGCCUUUUGACUUCGAAAAAACGAAAGAAGACUGCAAUAUAUAAAGUUUGGGAUGGCAAACUCCUUCACCACUAAUUGGUUAAGAAUUUAAAGAAAACUCAAUUUCUUCAGUGGCUCUUUUGGAAUUAGUCAGCUGAGGUGGCAUGCCAUGUGGAUCCACCUCACUCCAAAUGUCAUGCCACGUGGCUAUGAUCUUGCCGUGGUGGAAAAGUGUUAAAAAGAGGGGUAUUUCUGCUAACUUUCUUAACGGCGAGGGUAAAUAUGACCUCAAAGUAUUACUGAGGGUAAAGUUGACCAAUUUUUCAAAGUAGAGGGGUAUUUUUUGAUCCUUUUUCCUAAAAAAAAUUACAUGUAGAGACAAUUGUCAAUCAUAUUUUCAACAAUCUCGCUGCUAUAUUUUUAAAAAUAAAGUUCACCUUUAACCCUACAAAGGGCUCCAAUAUUUUUAACCCGAAAGGGCUCAUAUAUUUUUAAUCCAAAAGGACUUCAUUUUUAACCAUGCCAAGCAGUAAUGAAGAUCAUGUGAAGAACAAAAAUUUCGCAUGUAAAGAGGGUAAGUUUUGUCAAGAAAAUCAAGCCAAAAAAGUACC
rnacentral:lncRNA from 1 species